UACGAAGGGGGCUAGCGUUGUUCGGAAUUACUGGGCGUAAAGCGCGCGCAGGCGGUCCUUUAAGUCGGGGGUGAAAGCCCAGAGCUCAACUCUGGAACUGCCUUCGAAACUAGAGGACUUGGGUACGGGAGAGGUGAGUGGAAUUCCGAGUGUAGAGGUGAAAUUCGUAGAUAUUCGGAAGAACACCAGUGGCGAAGGCGGCUCACUGGCCCGUUACCGACGCUCAGGCGCGACAGCGUGGGGAUCAAACAGG
rnacentral:rRNA from 1 species